UGAUAUUAAAAUUUAUAUUUUUUAUUUCUCAUUCAUUACUAUUAUAAUAUUAGUUGUUAGAUGUAGGAUGAUAUUGUAGUGUAUCUAUAAAUAGUAUAUGUUUCGAAUUCAUAUAACUUACUUUUGAAUUAUAAUCCAAAUUAUAGUCUAAUAUAUGUAAAAGUCCAAAAAUCCAGUCCAAUCCAAUUCGAACUUUUCGAAUUGGAUUGAAUGGAACUAG
rnacentral:lncRNA from 1 species